rnacentral:rRNA from 1 species
UACGUAGGGUCCGAGCGUUGUCCGGAAUUAUUGGGCGUAAAGGGCGCGUAGGCGGCCCGCGCAAGCGUGCGGUGAAAGCCCGGGGCUCAACCCCGGGUCGGCCGUGCGGACUGCGGGGCUCGAGCACUGUAGGGGCAGAUGGAAUUCCGGGUGUAGCGGUGGAAUGCGUAGAGAUCCGGAAGAACACCGGUGGCGAAGGCGGUCUGCUGGGCAGUAGCUGACGCUGAGGCGCGACAGCGUGGGGAGCAAACAGG